rnacentral:lncRNA from 1 species
CUUUGGGCUUUCUGGCUGAUGUGAAGGAAGAAGCUGGUUUAUAUCUGGAACUUGGGAUAAUCAAGUUGGAGAUCAAGGAACAAACCAGGAGAUACUGCUCACCCAUAUCUUUGGGAAGGACCCAGAGUCCAUCUCCCCAGAAGAGACCUAAGCACAUGACCAAGUGUCACACAGAAAUGUGCCAAUCCAACCCGUCUCUAUCCCCACCAAC